rnacentral:rRNA from 1 species
UCAACGCCGGAAAACUCACCUGGGGCGACAGCAAUAUGUAGGUCAGGCUGAAGGUCUUACCUGAAUCGCUGAGAGGAGGUGCAUGGCCGUCGUCAGUUCGUACUGUGAAGCAUCCUGUUAAGUCAGGCAACGAGCGAGACCCGUGCCCACUGUUGCCAGCAUAUCCUUCGGGAUGAUGGGUACUCUGUGGGGACCGCUGGUGCUAAACCAGAGGAAGGUGCGGGCUACGGUAGGUCAGUAUGCCCCGAAUCUCCAGGGCUACACGCGGGCUGCAAUGACCGGGACAAUGGGCUCCUACCCCGAAAGGGGUUGGUAAUCUCAUAAACCCGGCCGUAGUUCGGAUCGAGGGCUGCAACUCGCCCUCGUGAAGCUGGAAUCCGUAGUAAUCGCGUUUCAAUAUAGCGCGGUGAAUACGUCCCUGCUCCUUGCACACACCGCCCGUCAAACCACCCGAGUGAGGUAUGGGUGAGGGCACGAACCUUGUGUCGUGUUCGAACCUAAAUUUCGCAAGGGGGGUU